GUGCUUGCUUUGGCAGAACAUAUACUAAAAUUGGAACAAUACAGAGAGGGCUAGCAUGGUCCCUGUGCAAGGAUGAUACGCAAAUUCGUGAAGUGUUCCAUAUUUUU